AAAAUAGAGAGACCCUUUAUUAUUGGAUUAAUCGUUUGUCAGUAAAUAUCUCAUAAGGAUUCAACUAAAGUGUCAGUAAGACCUAUGCAUAAUUUUCGGAUUGAAUUUCUGCUCCAAGUGUCUUGAUCUCGUAGGAUCGAUUACCGACAUUAAAAUACCGAGAUAGAACGCAAAGAUCAGACGGCCGAAGCCGACCGACCGAUCCUAAAAUCAGAAGUGUAGAGCGAUACGCGAGAGUGUAUACCGGUUGCACGAGCUUACAGACAGUAUACAGAGUGAGAGUCCCUGCGAGUAUGAAACUCAAUUUGAUUCCUGCUUCCCCUCGACCCCCGUCGUCGGAACCGGAGGUGAGUGGGACGAGAGGAACCUGGUCCGCCACCCCAGAAAAGGGGGUGCUCCCAGGGGCGCGCGACUGACCCGACAUCCUGCAGGAUCCAGCCACUCAUAUUGCCAAUUACCAACUCUACGACCCUCUCGCUCUUCGCUCGCUUUGGACUUCGGAUGAUUCCAGCCACUUCCAGGCUGUUCCAGUUACAUCGGCGCCGGUGUACGUUCUCAUAGCCGUCAUAGCUCGAAAAGGCCGUUGGCUAGACGCACGCCAAGUAAGCGUAAUCUCUGGCGAAUAUUAAAGGAUUUAUGUUUCCUCUUACCGCCCCUGUACUGAGUGCACUUUGCGUGUGAUCAUUUCAAGAACAGAGCACGGGCGGGUGCGUUAAUGGCGUAAGAAGCUGGAGAAUGCGGGGACUUGAUAGCCGCGCACAAUCGAAAUGAAACCACGAAAAUACGAUCGCAAAAUCACUUAGGUUUAUUGGAUCGGAUGAGAAGCGGCGGUGCAUUUGGAGAAUUCUUGAGGGAGACACGAGCCUUUGAGAGUGAAACCAGCUAAUUACGAAGCAAGCACCCGGUAAAGUCUUCUACCUUGGACCAUGGCCUCGGAGGGAUAUACGAGGUUGGCAGUGCUUGAGGGGAUCCGCUACUCCCAAAACGUGCACCGGAUGACGCUUGAUCUUUCGGCUAAUUCUGUAAUCCGGGCCGGCACUACCUGCUAACUGCUCACUAAAUCGAGGAUCCAAUCUUCUCCGCUAUCUUCGCUCUUUAUCACGACAAAUGGUCAGCGACAGUGUCGUUACUGUACUCUUUUUGUUUCGGACGAAACGUUUCAUUAUUUCACGAAAAAUUACGACUGCCCUGCGUAAUAGGACCAGUACAUCACACAGCUUGCAAACGCGCGAAAAAAUAACAUUGGUUCUUUAGAUUUAUGGGUUCUGUCAAUGUAUGGCACCAACGUCGAUGGAAAAAAAUAUUUAACUUUAAAACUAGCGUUUUCCAAGGAGGAUGACAAACAGCAGCCUUUUUCCUAGGGUCGAAGUAAAUGAUCGCCAACCUAUCGGCGAAGGUGGCGGAAGUCGCGCCGCGGAACCGCAGAAGUUUCUACGAAUCCGCGGCUGGUUGCAAACUUGCCGAAGGGUCGAAACCGCCGGCGCCGUGAAAUUACUCGACGGGUACCUCCCACGGGGCCGAACUUGUCCGCGACAAUUUCAAACUUAUUUUAACAUUCAUAUAAGCCCCGUGCCCUCGCCGCGUAUGCGAGCGCCCCUGAACCAUCGUCUACGCAUCCCUUUCGCUGCGUAACCCGAGAAGCGACCCAUGUACGACGCUCCUUCCUUGAUGUAAGGACGUGCAAGCAUAAGGGUGGCUUGGGAUUUACAUAAGAUUAUGCGUAAGCCUCCGUACGCCUCGCGGUAAGGGGAUCGACGAAAUGGUGUCGUAGUGAAACAACGCUCCGGGGUGCGUUCAUCUCGCACUGAUAAUUAUAAUAAAGCGGCGUUGUAUAUGACGUACGAGCGAUAAACGUCGUUGUCGAUUCCGGCAUGGUAGAAGCAAUCAGAUGUGAUUUAAGAUUCUUUUAUCGGGUUCGUAAUGCGAUUUGAUUUCAAAUCUUGUAAGAAGUUACGAAAUAUUGAACACUCGGAUAAGUGCGAGAGGAAAAUUUAAUUAAAAAUUGUCUUUGUUUUUGCAAUUUCAUAUUUAUACAUUAAAUUGUUAUUGUAUUUA
rnacentral:lncRNA from 1 species